rnacentral:rRNA from 1 species
AGUGGCGGACGGGUGAGUAACACGUAAGAAUUUGCCUUUAGGAGGGGGACAACAACUGGAAACGGUUGCUAAUACCCCAUAUGCUUUCGAGUAAAAUGGAUUUCCGCCUAAAGAGAAGCUUGCGGCUGAUUAGCUUGUUGGUAGGGUAAUGGCCUACCAAGGCGACGAUCGAUAUCUGGUUUGAGAGGACGAUCAGACACACUGGAACUGAGGCACGGUCCAGACUCCUACGGGAGGCAGCAGUAGGGAAUCUUCCGCAAUGGGCGAAAGCCUGACGGAGCAAUACCGCGAGGGAUGAAUGCCUAUGGGUUGUAAACCUCUUUUUUCAGGGAGGAAUAAAUGACGUGUACCUGAAGAAUAAGCAUCGGCUAACUCCGUGCCAGCAGCCGCGGUAAGACGGAGGAUGCAAGUGUUAUCCGGAAUCACUGGGCGUAAAGCGUCUGUAGGUGGCUUAAUAAGUCAACUGUUAAAUCUUGAAGCUCAACUUCAAAAUCGCAGUCGAAACUAUUAGACUAGAGUAUAGUAGAGGUAAAGGGAAUUUCCAGUGGAGCGGUGAAAUGCGUAGAGAUUGGAAAGAACACCGAUGGCGAAGGCACUUUACUGGGCUAUUACUGACACUCAGAGACGAAAGCUAGGGUAGCAAAUGGGAUUAGAUACCCCAGUAGUCCUAGCCGUAAACAAUGGAUACUAGGUGUUGAAC